rnacentral:rRNA from 1 species
ACGAAGGGUGCAAGCGUUACUCGGAAUUACUGGGCGUAAAGCGUGCGUAGGUGGUUUGUUAAGUCUGAUGUGAAAGCCCUGGGCUCAACCUGGGAACGGCAUUGGAUACUGGCUUACUAGAGUGCGGUAGAGGGUAGUGGAAUUCCCGGUGUAGCAGUGAAAUGCGUAGAUAUCGGGAGGAACAUCUGUGGCGAAGGCGGGUUGCUGGGCUGACACUGACGCUGAGGCGCGAAAGCCAGGGGAGCGAACGGGA